UGGGGAAUUUUGGACAAUGGGGGAAACCCUGAUCCAGCCAUCCCGCGUGCGCGAUGAAGGCCUUCGGGUUGUAAAGCACUUUUGGCAGGAAAGAAACGACAUGGGUUAAUACCCCGUGAAACUGACGGUACCUGCAGAAUAAGCACCGGCUAACUACGUGCCAGCAGCCGCGGUAAUACGUAGGGUGCAUGCGUGAAUCGGAAUUACUGGGCGUAAAGCGUGCGCAGGCGGUUCGGAAAGAAGGAUGUGAAAUCCCAGAGAUCAACGUUGGAACUGCAUUUUUAACUACCGGGCUAGAGGUUGUCGGAGGGAGGUGGAAUUCCGCGUGUAGCAGUGAAAUGCGUAGAUAUGCGAAGGAACACCGAUGGCGAAGGCAGCCUCCUGGGAUAACACUGACGCUCAUGCACGAAAGCGUGGGGAGCAAACAGG
rnacentral:rRNA from 1 species